rnacentral:lncRNA from 1 species
AUACGGUAUUCACAGGUGUGAGAGUCGGCAGAGACUCCGGACAGUUUUCUUUUUAUUGUGUUGACACCUAGCAGGAGGAUAUAAUCCCGGGAACACAUCCCAUCCUGCCAGAUGUACAGAAGCUAGAAGCUAGAAUAGGUUUGUACACUUAAUACAAAUAAGUAGACCGCCUGACAGACUCUACAUAUUCUGUGUGACACUGCAGUGGUCUGUGACCAAAGAUGACCGACCAGCAGACCUGUGGCCAUUGCCUGUCUACCAAUAUCAGACUGACCGUUGCCUUCUGAAGUAAGUGGUCCUCUGCCCAAGUCAAGGCUUCAGUCCAUGCGAAGACGAGAUGGUGUGAGUGUCCAAGAGGAAAGACUUUCGUUUCCUGUCAUCACAGAUGGUUCCUUCUUGUAAAAAGUGAGCGCACGAACAUUCAAGUAAGUUAAUACUGAUUGCAAAUAUAUCUCUCAAUAAAAUUUGAGAAUAGGGACAUUGCAGAUCCCUUCACCAGUCACUUCUAGUAUUGGUAGUAUGUUAUGUGUAAAUAUUUCUACUGUUGUGACGACUAAAAUCUAACAAAAGAAUUCACUUAUAUAUAUAAUUAUGUACUUGUUAAUUUACAUGAACCACGUUCAACACAUUGACAUUUAAACAUGUUUAAAUAACGAAAGUUUUUUUGAGCCAGUUUGUCGUUGAGGAUGAUGAAACGUAUUCAGUGAAGUGAACAGAAUAGAAAUUCUGCGUGCGUGUGUGUGUGUUAGGGGAGUGAAAGAAUGACAUUCCAUUUCUCUAACCUUUCUUCUGAAUAGAAAUAUCGAUAAGUUCACAAAAUUCAAACCCAAAAAGACUAAUUACGAUUGCUUGAAAAACAAACAAAAAUGUUUGUCCAAUGUCUUGUGUGAGAGAAUCAAGAGAGUUCGUGUGUGUGUGUGUACGUACGGGAGUAUGUUCACAUAGGUAUGCACGUGCACCUGUCUCCCUAGCAACAUGCAGGUGUGACCAGAGGACAGCGUGCAGGGGCCGCAACCUUUCUGCACGAACGGCAGUUGUUUGUGUUGAGGAGGAGAUAGCCUCCCGCCGCGCAGGUGACAUGGACUCUCUCUACCUGACGUCCACACCUGCUCCUCCCGUUCACUUCUUGUCUUCAGCUGGUGCUACUGCUACCGACAGACAUUGAAACAUUCUUAUUAAGAAUAUUCCACAAAUUAAGUUGUCUCUUUCAGUUUCAAGUGAAUUAAUGUUGCUACUUGGCGAUCUACUGAAGGUAAUCGGUUGCUGACCAAAGGCUGCCAUGAGAGAGGGAUGUCCAUUUGCUGAGCUGGCUUUCUUUAUGUUAAUAGUGUUUGCUUUGAGAAUCUCAUUUGAUUUUAAAGUUAGCAUUGGACCUUCUCUUUCCUUGUUGUGUGCUUCGCAAUGAAUUGUGUGACUUUGGCAGUUAGUGACGACCAGUCCGAUUUUUACAACGAACAUGGCGGAUUCUGCCACCGUCGAGUUUAUUCCUGCAGUAGUUGCUGUUGCGGACCACGAAGACAAUUCUACUUCACUUCAGUUACUGGUCUCAACUGUACACCUGAAAUCUUGGACUGCGAGGAAGCGACACUUCUCUGGACAGUCCAGGGUCCCUUCCCAGGUGUGAAACCCCAUCGGAAUCGCCAGUGAAGGUCUGAAGGCUCAAUGCGUGCUCUAAGGUUGGCAACUGCCAUCACAAGGAAGAAGUCGGGUGGUCUCCCAGACAGUCCGUUAACAAAUCCUUGCAUCGGUGAAAGGGAGAUAUUCCAUCUACAUUUUUUUUCUAGUCACCUAGGUGAGCUCUUCGGUCUCAGAGGCUCGCACCUGUGCACCCGACACGCUGAUGAACUUCGUUAAGGACACCCGACACGGGACACGAGCGAUUUCUACAUGUCUCACUCAGACUGGAAGGCUAUGCAAGGACUGCGAGGUGAACACUUCCGUCCUCCAUGCUGUCUGCCUGUUGGCAGGUCGAAUCGCUCACAGUCAGAACCUGAGUCCGAGCCGGCGCCUCACAAAUCUCGCCAGGUCACGUGAGCCGCUAACGUGCACGUGGCACGCAACCCGUUGCGAGCAUCAAAAGCGGCCGACAGGGCGACACCACGAUGCAGGUGUGUGAGGUGAGCAACACAGUCCCAAAGGGAGAUCACUAUCAGAACACUUGCUGGUGAAACUCCGACUUGGACCAUUUAUCUUUUCUUUAUUCCUAGACCAUAAAUGGACGUCCCCCCCCAAAAAA